CCUACGGGAUGCACCAGUGGGGAAUAUUGGACAAUGGGCGCAAGCCUGAUCCAGCCAUACCGCGUGAGUGAAGAAGGCCUUCGGGUUGUAAAGCUCUUUUGUUGGGAAAGAAAUCCUGUCGGUUAAUACCCGGUAGGGAUGACGGUACCCAAAGAAUAAGCACCGGCUAACUUCGUGCCAGCAGCCACGGUAAUACGAAGGGUGCAAGCGUUACUCGGAAUUACUGGGCGUAAAGCGUGCGUAGGUGGUUUGUUAAGUCUGAUGUGAAAGCCCCGGGCUCGACCUGGGAAUUGCAUUGGAUACUGGCAGGCUAGAGUGCGGUAGAGGGUAGUGGAAUUCCCGGUGUAGCAGUGAAAUGCGUAGAGAUCGGGAGGAACAUCUGUGGCGAAGGCGACUGCCUGGACCAGCACUGACACUGAGGCACGAAAGCGUGGGGAGCAAACAGGAUUAGAUACCCUUGUAGUC
rnacentral:rRNA from 1 species